rnacentral:lncRNA from 1 species
GAUAUCACUGAGUGCUGGAAAAGGUUUCUGCCACUACCUUCCUAGACUCAUCUAAGUGGAUGGACUCCAGGGGAUGGAGAAUGGAAGGCAGCAGAUGUUUGUUGACUUCUUGCUCUAUAUCGGGCACUGUGCUAGAUACCAUACACGCCAUCAACAUUUAGGACAGUAUGACAAAGGAGAAUGAAAGCUGUCUCUUGUAGAUAGGAUAUUUUCAGCCGUCAUCACCAUGGACUCUUUGAAAUGUACUACUUCAGAAAAGCCACAGUGACUCCCUCUGGGCCUCACCCACCUGAGAUGACAUCACGACGCAAAUCUAGGACUUACGCUCUUCAUACGGAUGGAAUGGUUGGUUCACUUGGCUUUCAGAGUGCAGACAAGCCAUUCAGUGGAGGGCAUGCCUCAGCCUGCACUCUUCUGACUCAUGACAUGACUUCUCCAUGGAGAGCCAGGAUUUUUCUCAAGUGUAACAAUAUUAAUUAUCAAGUCACUUUAAAACAUGUGUGAUGUAUGUGUGCAUUUAUUUCACAGGAAUGGUAUAAAGAUUAAAUACUUAAUGAAUCCAUUUUUCA